rnacentral:rRNA from 1 species
GACGUAGGGCGCGAGCGUUGUCCGGAUUUAUUGGGCGUAAAGAGCUCGUAGGUGGUUUGUCGCGUUGUUCGUGAAAACUCACAGCUUAACUGUGGGCGUGCGGGCGAUACGGGCAGACUAGAGUACUGCAGGGGAGACUGGAAUUCCUGGUGUAGCGGUGGAAUGCGCAGAUAUCAGGAGGAACACCGGUGGCGAAGGCGGGUCUCUGGGCAGUAACUGACGCUGGAGGAGCGAAAGCGUGGGGAGCGAACAGG